CUGACUGCCCACUGAGAUUAACUUAAAGGGCCGCGGUAUUUUGACCGUGCAAAGGUAGCAUAAUCAUUAGUCUUUUAAUUGGAGGCUAGAAUGAAUGGUUGGACGAGGUAUUGACUGUCUCUGUAUAAAUGAGUUUAGAAUUUAACUUUUAAGUGAAAAGGCUUAAAUAUUUUUAGAGGACGAGAAGACCCCAUAGAGCUUUAUAAUAAGUUUUUUAUAAUUUGUUUAGUGGUUUUUUUAUUAUAUUAAAUUAAUUAUUUUGUUGGGGUGACAGGAAGAUAUAAUAAACUCUUUUUAUUAAUGAAACAUUGAUUUAUGAAUUAUUGAUCCAUUUUUAAUGAUUAAAAGUCUAAGUUACCUUGGGGAUAACAGCGUAAUCUUUUUCGAGAGUUCUUAUCGACAAAAAGGGUUGCGACCUCGAUGUUGGAUUAAGGGUAAUUUUGGGUGUAGAUGUUCAAAGUUUAGGUCUGUUCGACCUUUAAAUCCUUACAU
rnacentral:rRNA from 1 species